rnacentral:rRNA from 1 species
UACGUAGGGUGCGAGCGUUAAUCGGAAUUACUGGGCGUAAAGCGUGCGCAGGCGGUUUUGUAAGCCAGAUGUGAAAUCCCCGGGCUCAACCUGGGAAUGGCAUUUGGGACUGCAAGGCUGGAGUCCGGAAGAGGAGAGUGGAAUUCCUGGUGUAGCGGUGAAAUGCGCAGAUAUCAGGAAGAACACCCGUGGCGAAGGCGGCUCUCUGGAACGCAACUGACGCUGAGACGCGAAAGCGUGGGGAGCAAACAGG